rnacentral:other from 1 species
GAGUCGCACAGCGAAGUGAACAUCAGGAUGAUGACGCUUCACAAGGAUUCGCCAGGAUGGCGCUUCAGGGAAAGGCUUCAGGAUGAAGCGAAUGGAUGAUGCAGGAUGCGUCAGAAGGACACCUCCAGGAAGGAGAACGAGAGCCGGUCAGGAUGCCCGGUGGAUCAGGAAGAUCGGGACACGCUUAAGGAUAAGCGCAAUCACAUCGGGGUGGUGUGAGCAGGAUGCAGCUGUUUAUGGAUGAACGGGUCAGGAGACCACAGGAAAAGUUGUCAAGGAUGAGCAGGGAGCACCAAAAGUAGCCGGACUGCUGCGAAACGAACCGGGGAGCACUGUUAACUCAGUGCUCCCUUUUUUUAUU